AUUGAACGCUGGCGGCAUGCCUUACACAUGCAAGUCGAACGGCAGCGGACCUUCGGGUGCCGGCGAGUGGCGAACGGGUGAGUAAUGCAUCGGAACGUACCUUUCAGUGGGGGAUAACGUAGCGAAAGUUACGCUAAUACCGCAUAUUCUGUGAGCAGGAAAGCAGGGGAUCGCAAGACCUCGCGCUGAUUGAGCGGCCGAUGUCAGAUUAGCUAGUUGGUGAGGUAAAGGCUCACCAAGGCGACGAUCUGUAGCGGGUCUGAGAGGAGGAUGCGCCACACUGGGACUGAGACACGGCCCAGACUCCUACGGGAGGCAGCAGUGGGGAAUUUUGGACAAUGGGGGCAACCCUGAUCCAGCCAUGCCGCGUGAGUGAAGAAGGCCUUCGGGUUGUAAAGCUCUUUCGGCCGGGAAGAAAUCGCACAGGCUAAUACCUUGUGUGGAUGACGGUACCGGAAUAAGAAGCACCGGCUAACUACGUGCCAGCCGCCGCGGUAAUAC
rnacentral:rRNA from 1 species